CACCUCGCAGGAUCAUGUCUGGAGAGUGGCUAAUAUUCUGCCAGCUUCAGAGAGAGGAGGGAAAGCAAGCCUGGCAGAGGUACCCAUUACAUUCCCUGCUUGCUUAGUAGCUAGCGACUGGAAGACAUUCUGCAACAAUG
rnacentral:snoRNA from 1 species